GCGCCUGUAGCUCAACCGGAUAGAGCAUCGGCCUUCGAAGCCGAGGGUUGCAGGUUCGAGCCCUGCCAGGCGCG
rnacentral:tRNA from 1 species